AACGCACGAGACCUGCGGACCUGCGGAAGGAUCAUCAAAGAAAACACAUAAUAACUCAUGGGUUUGGGAGGGGGGGAGAGAGGGAAGAGAGAUAAUCUCUUUCGCUCACUUUCCUUUCCUUUCUCUUGGGUAACCAAACAACUUACAUGACUAGGAAAUCAGAGAGGGAAGAGAGAGAUGAGAUAGAUAGGGGAAAUCCCUUGAUAACUCACUCACUCGCAAAAGUUCUUGACUGAUAAG
rnacentral:misc_RNA from 1 species